ensembl:lncRNA
GGUCAACAGUGGGGCCGUCGCCUGCCGACUGAAGAGGAGUUCAAGCAGAGCAGAGAAUACCUGAAAUGAUUUGUGUGAAAAGAAAGAGGACGCAUUGAGUUUUACAGCAGGAGGCCUUUGAGAUAAAAUCAGACCAAACAAACUGCCUGUCAGCAUCUCUGUGCCUUAUGUUUUAGGUUCACUGAUGGAACAAGGCAGCCCACUUAUCGGCUGUAUUUCUCUACAUCCCACCGAAAAUUAGUAACCACGACGACGGACGGGAGUGACCAGCAGUUCAAGAGGAGGCGUCUGCAGCUGUCCCGUCCUUCCUUCAGUGUAUGUUCUUCUACGCAAAGCAGCGCCGCGCUA